UAUGAACCAAUUUUUUAUAUUUUCCUUUUUUUAAUUCGGCAAUGUAGUAAACCAAACACAUGUUCAUGCAUAUUUAAAACAUAUACAAUACUUCACUUUAUUUGGACCGAGAUACAUAACUCAAAACAUUGCUCCUUGUAAAAGACGAAGUUUAUCAAUAACACACUCCUGGAUAAACCGACCGUAAGAUCUAAAAGCAUAGCAAAGUGUAUUUUAUUUGGAAUAAUUCUUUUCUGGUCCUCAAAAUUAUUGUAUUUAAUAUUAUGAAAUAUAUUAAGUGCACAC
rnacentral:lncRNA from 1 species